GAAAGCAGCAAUAUCAGUGUCAGCAACAGCUUCUAGGGGCUGCAAGGUGCGGGCUGUAGUAAGUUUUUCCAGUCGACUGCUGAUGUGAGGCAAAUCAACUCCACGUGACCCAAGCAGGAUAGCCCUUUGUGAAUCAUUAGCAGUGGACGCCUGUGCUGAGGCUCGUGACCAUAACUGUUGACCAGUGUGAAGAAUUUGCUGGAGGGAGCGAUCAACACGUGGAAGCUCACCUCCACCGUUUAAGUUACUAGCAAG